ACCAGACUCCUACGGGAGGCAGCAGUGAGGAAUAUUGGUCAAUGGCCGGGAGGCUGAACCAGCCAAGUCGCGUGAGGGAAGACGGCCCUACGGGUUGUAAACCUCUUUUGUCAGGGAGCAAGGUGCAGGUCGGGACCUGCUGUGAGAGUACCUGAAGAAAAAGCAUCGGCUAACUCCGUGCCAGCAGCCGCGGUAAUACGGAGGAUGCGAGCGUUAUCCGGAUUUAUUGGGUUUAAAGGGUGCGCAGGCGGAGGCACAAGUCAGCGGUAAAAUCGCGGGGCUCACCCCCGCUCCGCCGUUGAAACUGUGUCCCUUGAGUGCGCGAAGGGUAGGCGGAAUGCGUGGUGUAGCGGUGAAAUGCAUAGAUAUUACACAGAACACCGAUUGCGAAGGCAGCUUGCUAGGCCGGAUCUGACACUGAUGCACGAAAGCGUGGGGAUCGAACAGGAUUAGAUACCCCGGUAG
rnacentral:rRNA from 1 species